AACGUUUGGCACAGGAUCACUUGGCUCUCGCAUCGAUGAAGAACGCAGCGAAAUGCGAUGAGUAAUGUGAAUUGCAGAAUUCAGUGAAUCAUCGAAUCUUUGAACGCACCUUGCGCCCUUUGGCCAUUCCGAAGGGCAUGCCUGUUUGAGUAUCAUGAACACCUCAACUCUUCAUGUUUUUCCAUGAUGAGCUGGGACUUUGGGGGUUUUGCUGGCCUAUGGUCAGCUCCUCUAAAAUGAAUCAGCUUGCCAGUGUUUGGUGGGCAUCACAGGUGUGAUAACUAUCUACACUUGUGGUUUUCCACCAGAUAAACCUUCAGCAGUGGAGGUUCACUGGAGCUCACAGAUUGUCUCUCCUCAGUGAGGACAGCCCUUUGAAUGUUUGAUCUCAAAUCAGGUAGGACUACCCGCUGAACUUAAGCAUAUCAAUAAGCGGAGGCC
rnacentral:misc_RNA from 1 species